rnacentral:rRNA from 1 species
GACGAACGCUGGCGGCGUGCUUAACACAUGCAAGUCGAACGGAAAGGCCCUGCUUUUGUGGGGUGCUCGAGUGGCGAACGGGUGAGUAACACGUGAGUAACCUGCCCUUGACUUUGGGAUAACUUCAGGAAACUGGGGCUAAUACCGGAUAGGAGCUCCUGCUGCAUGGUGGGGGUUGGAAAGUUUCGGCGGUUGGGGAUGGACUCGCGGCUUAUCAGCUUGUUGGUGGGGUAGUGGCUUACCAAGGCUUUGACGGGUAGCCGGCCUGAGAGGGUGACCGGCCACGUUGGGGUUGGGGUUGAGCCCACUCUUCAUGGGGAGGCAACAGUGGGGAAUUGUUCACAUCGGGCUGAGGCUUAUUCGGGCACCGCCGCGUGCGGGAAGGCGGCUUUUGGGUAGUAAACCGAUUUCCGCUGUGACGAAGGUUAGGUGACGGUAAUGGGUAAAGAAACAACGGACAACCUCGU